rnacentral:lncRNA from 1 species
ACUAUUCUAAGGAUUUCAAACGGACACAACAUCUCUGUAUUUCUGGAAUUCUAAUGAGCAAGCUGGGUGGAAUUGACUAGAUCUUCUUACAUCCUUUCCUGAAGAACGACUUCUGCCACAAUCUCAGUUUUCCUGCCUGCUGCGUUCCUUCCUUGGUGACAAAGGUACCACCCGCCUCAGGAAAUGAGUGCCUUGAAGCAAAAUGAUUAGCCUUGGCCUCGAAGCGCUUUCAAAAGUUUUGCAAACGAUGCAACUGGAACACAGGAGAAACAGGGAAGCAUGGUUAUGUCCCCUGAAGCCCUGGUCCGCAUGAAGUUCUUCCUGCUUUUCUUCAGAGGCAGACGCAGGAGCUGGUCAAGGGAAUGGAUUUUGCACUCACACGGUGAGGGAAACUGACUUGAUG